GAUGAACGCUGGCGGCGUGCCUAAUACAUGCAAGUCGAGCGAACAGACGAGGAGCUUGCUCCUCUGACGUUAGCGGCGGACGGGUGAGUAACACGUGGAUAACCUACCUAUAAGACUGGGAUAACUUCGGGAAACCGGAGCUAAUACCGGAUAAUAUAUUGAACCGCAUGGUUCAAUAGUGAAAGACGGUUUAGCUGUCACUUAUAGAUGGAUCCGCGCCGCAUUAGCUAGUUGGUAAGGUAACGGCUUACCAAGGCAACGAUGCGUAGCCGACCUGAAAGGGUGCUAGGCCACACUGUAACUGAGACACGGUCCAGACUCCUACGGGAGGCAGCAGUAGGGAAUCUUCCGCAAUGGGCGAAAGCUUGACGGAGCAGCGCCGCGUGAGUGAUGAAGGUCUUCGGAUCGUAAAACUCUGUUAUUAGGGAAGAACAAAUGUGUAAGUAACUAUGCGCGUCUUGACGUUACCUAAUCAGAAAGCCACGGCUAACUACGUG
rnacentral:rRNA from 1 species